AAUGCCCGCCAUGGCCAGGCUGCCAAGGGCCAUCCCUGCCCCUCUCCUUUAUUCCUCCUCACUUGUUCCUUGUGACUGAUUCCUCAAAGUCUCCUCCUCGGCUUUAAGGAGCAGGAUUUAUCAGCUUUCUCCAGAUUCAGCGGGAAAGGUGGGAAAACUGAGGCACAGAACAGCAGCAUGAUUUGUCCAAGGUCACACAAUGAAUCAGUGUCAGAGCCAAGAGGGGAACCCACGACUCCUGACACCCGUUCGCCUGAUCUAACCACUGGAUUCCUUUCCUCUCCGCUUUUUAAUACUGAGAUGCAACCUGUGGCGUAAGAAGCUGUAAGAAAGUAUAGUUGGUGUACAGGGCAAACAUCCAGAACAUUUGACUUUAUUGCUGAUGGGAAGCUUGCAGUCAUCUCAGCUCCAUUCCACCUUAAAAGCAUAUAUCACUGCCUACGACAUGGAGCAAGAGAGAAGGCGGCUCAGCGAGGAAAAUAUGGAGAGAAAUAAUGAUUAUGCUGGCAGACAGUAGAACAACUAAAUGGAAAGAGACUUGUCAUCAUGCAAAUAAAACUUAAAUGAGUCCUUGGUUUGUAGAAGAGAAGAGUUUUCAAUAGCCCGGAGGAGAUGUUUAAAAUGCAUUCAAUACAGCAGGCAAUAACAUUGGGUCUGUGCUUCAGAUAAACAAGCUAUUCUGGUGAAUUGCAACAUGAUAGUGACUGAAUCAGCUUCGAAAGCAAUUACGCCUCUGAGACCGUGGGCAAAGAGGGGAAGCGUUUUGCAAUCAUCUUGUCGAACAAAAUGUAAAUGGAGUGAGCUGUGACAGCCGCGGACUUUUAGGUGACACCAUAAAUGCUCAGCGACUCCCUUCCAAAGGGAGGAGAUAGGGUUACUUAUGAGCUUCUCCUUUAAGUAAACGGGUAGGCACGUUUGAGAUGCUGG